GAUGAACGCUGGCGGCGUGCCUAAUACAUGCAAGUCGAGCGAACAGACGAGGAGCUUGCUCCUCUGACGUUAGCGGCGGACGGGUGAGUAACACGUGGAUAACCUACCUAUAAGACUGGGAUAACUUCGGGAAACCGGAGCUAAUACCGGAUAAUAUAUUGAACCGCAUGGUUCAAUAGUGAAAGACGGUUUUGCUGUCACUUAUAGAUGGAUCCGCGCCGCAUUAGCUAGUUGGUAAGGUAACGGCUUACCAAGGCAACGAUGCGUAGCCGACCUGAGAGGGUGAUCGGCCACACUGGAACUGAGACACGGUCCAGACUCCUACGGGAGGCAGCAGUAGGGAAUCUUGCGCAAUGGGCGAAAGCCUGACGGAGCAACGCCGCGUGAGUGAUGGAGGUCUUCGGAUCGUAAAACUCUGUUAUUAGGGAAGAACAAAUGUGUAAGUAACUAUGCACGUCUUGACGGUACCUAAUCAGAAAGCCACGGCUAACUACGUG
rnacentral:rRNA from 1 species